AUGCAUAACGCUGUCCAAGUAGACAAUUUUACCAAUUGCUAUGGAUUUAGAGGAGCAUGCAGCAUUUACUUGAUAAGCUAAUGUGUCGUUGUGUUUCAUCGCACAUCCGAGUACUAUCUCCAUCAGUUUCUGAUGACUAGCCUAUACGCAUGAACAUAUAUGUUUUGGAGUAUUUUGGAUUAUUUAAUUAGGUUUUGUGUGUGUGUGUGUGUGUGUUCUCUCUUUCUAUUCGGUUUCCUGUUUGAAUACAGUCAAGAGAUGUGUCAUACAGGCGUUGUUUAUCCUGUGUGAAACUUACAGUCAUUGUUCUUUGCAUGAGUUAAAAGUCGCUGAAUUUGCAGUUUGAAGGUGUAAAGCGUAGGCUACUUGUGAAAACCCUUACAGGACUUUAAUACAGCAAAUCACAGGUAAAAAAAAAAGUACGGGACCUUAAUAGUCGCACACAAACUGAGGAUUUUAACAAAAACUAUGUAAUUGAUUCGUGAUUAAGUUCCAGCAAUCAUAAUGACUUCUCAAUAGAAGUAGCCUACAUAAUUGCACUUUUAACUUCUGAUGUCUGAAACUUGUGCCUACCAGAAUGUUUAAGAAUUAUAAAAAUAAAAUAAAAAAAAUAGUAGAACUAUAAUAGCAUACGAUACAGUCAUAGGUCUACAUUACAAUAAAAAAAUGUUGUCGUAGGGAUUCCUGACUGAACGCAUAAGAAUACAAUCGAUCGUUUGGAAAUGCAACUGUCAAUCAAGAAGUCACGCCUCCUAUUCGCCUGUUCACUGCGACUUCAGACAAAGAAAUCAUUCGCACUGGUGACGAGUGACAUUCAGAUUGUUACGAUGUUUCUUUUAUGUCGGUUUGUAUUUUGUUUCAUUUUGUCACUCAUUUUUGCUCUCAGACUUGUCAAGGGAAACUCAGGAUAUGGUAUGUAGCAACUCUGAAAUAGCACGUCACAAAAAGGCCUUGUUAAGACUCUUUUGAGAAAUAAUUUUGGUAAACAUUAAGUUUUGUGUACGCUUUUUACAGCUGUUCAGUGGUGCUUUGGAUUCAGCAACUGUAGCUCAUUGGACUUACUCCAUUGUCAGGAAACGGAGCUUCCACUGUGUUCCAAGCUGUGUUUCAGUGAAGGAUGCUUCUCCUCUGAGAAUGUCCCUUCUGGGAAUGAGACGAGCUGGCUGGCAGUGCACAGCAGCAGAGGGCCUUCUGUUCAUGAUGCCACUGUAGCUGCUUUGACUGACAGGGUGCAGAUUGGGAAGCCCCUCCUCCUGGAAGUUUCAGGCAUACUAAAUCUGAGCAAAGAAAACGUUUCUAUGGUUUUCAUUACAUUUAGUGGGAACUCUGGUCCUCAGGGUCUGCAUAAUAUAUCUGUUAUGGCCAACGGAUACCUCACCUGCUACAUAGAUGCGAUAUUACAAGCUGCUGGAUUGUACUAUUUAAGUAUGUUUAGCUGCAAAACAACAAAUAUACAGGAAGAAUAACACAGCUUUUGUGACCACCAUAUGUCU
ensembl:lncRNA